UCCAGGGUCCUCAACCCAACGGUGCCUGGAGGCGAUGAAGGGUGAUAACAGACUUCCUAAAAAUAGAUGGGCUCUGGAAGAUGGUCUCUUUAUGUCUACAUGUUGUGCUGCACCCCACAGGCCUACAAGGCCUGUGCUUGUCCUGCUUCAAGACUGAAGAAAGAGCCCGGAGUCAACAACAGAGACAUCAAUGGUUUAAUGGAUGGGGGAGCUUAUACAUCUGAAGCAAGGUCCUGGAGUGACACCCCACCGUGUACAGCAGGCAGGACAUGACGGCAGUCUUCACUCCAAGUGUUAUCUUUGCUGUUGAUCUGCUGAAUGACCACGCCUCGUAUCCUGCCCCCUUUCAGGGCCUUAGUUUCCUCAUUUGUUACGUGGUUAUGGAAGCCCAGCCUUCAGAGCUGCAUGAUGGCCAGAUGUGAUUGCCAGGAAGACCCAGCAGGACCUCCUGGUUGUUGAGGAGGCCUUCCCUGCGAAGCCUCAAGUGCCCAUGGUCCCUCUGAAUACUGGCAUUGUUGGGGAAGAAUGGUUCUGAGUAAUUAAUGAAGAGUGGAAUCCAGAUACUAGAAUCUACCAGAGAACUCCAGCAAGCGCCCUGGAGACCCAGUGGAGGCCCCAGAGAACCUGGCAUUAAUCCAAGGAGAUGCUGGAGCUGUGGCCAAGGAGCUGGGCUGGUGUGUGUUGGGGAGCCCAUGCUCACUUCAGUGGUCAUCCACAGUUUGGUCUGCCCCAAACCUCUCUUCCAGUAGUCAACUCUCCCACACCCAAACUACAAGGUUGCAGUGGGAACUGUCAUGUUUCUACAGUAGGCCCCUGGCCCCUGGUCACUUGAUUGGUCCAGGGUCAGGCACUUGACCCACACUGGAACAAUAAUUUUUCUGCUUGGGAAUUUUGGAGAGAGAUAGAGCUAUCUUAACUUCUCUCCAGCUGAUUGGUCCAAUAACAUAUAACUCUUAGGUUCUCUUGACAGUCAUAUUUUUGUCACUGUGUGGAAGUAACAAGCAGGGGAAGCUGGUCUGAUGAGAGAGAAUGAAAGAUGAGGAGACUUCCAGUGGUGUUUGAGUUUCUGCUUCUGCUCCAUUCCUGAGGCUAGGCUGUAAUCUAGACUCUGUGAUAUCAUUAAAAUUAAGUUUCCCCUUUUUGCUUAAGCUAGUUUCGAUAGAUUUUGUUGUUGUUGUUGUUAUUGAUCCAAAGAGCUAAGGAAUAGUAUGAACUUCCUUAUCAAAUGCAUUUAUUCAUUCAAGAAAUAUUUCUGGUG